rnacentral:rRNA from 1 species
AAUGGGGAAACCCAUCUAGUUAUGCUAGAUACUGUAUACUGAAUACAUAGGUAUAUGGAGGUACACCUGGGGAACUGCAACAUCUAAGUACCCAGAGGAAGAGAAAGAAAAUUCGAUUCCCUAAGUAGCGGCGAGCGAAAGGGGAAGAGCCCAAACCAGGAACUUGUUCCUGGGGUUGCGGAUAGAUUAUAACGCUUUGAUUUCUUUAGUUGAAGAGAACUGGAAAGUUCCGUCGUAGAAGGUAAUAACCCUGUAGGCGAAAAGGAAAGAAAAGUAGAUCUACUCCAGAGUACCACGAGACACGUGAAACCUUGUGGGAAGCUGGGAGGACCAUCUCCCAAGGCUAAAUACUACCUAGUGACCGAUAGUGAAGCAGUACCGUGAGGGAAAGGUGAAAAGAACCCCGGAAGGGGAGUGAAAUAGAAUCUGAAACCGUGUGCCUACAAUCGGUCGGAGCACAUUAAAGUGUGACGGCGUACUUUUUGUAGAACGGGCCAGCGAGUUACGAUAUAUAGCAAGGUUAAGCACUUAUGGUGUGGAGCCGAAGGGAAACCGAGUCUGAAUAGGGCAACUAGUUGUAUAUUGUAGACCCGAAACCGGGUGACCUAUCCAUGGCCAGGAUGAAGCGGAAGUAAAAUUCCGUGGAGGUCCGAACCACGUUGGUGUUGAAAAACCAUGGGAUGAGCUGUGGAUAGCGGAGAAAUUCCAAUCGAACUCGGAGAUAGCUGGUUCUCCUCGAAAUAGCUUUAGGGCUAGCGUCGGGUAAUUGAGUAGUGGAGGUAGAGCACUGAAUGGGCUAGGGGCUGACAACAGUUACUGAACCCUAUCAAACUCCGAAUGCCAUAUACUUGUACCCCGGCAGUCAGACUACGAAUGAUAAGAUCCGUGGUCAAAAGG